CAUUAGAUGACUGAAAGUAAGUAUUAGCCUCUUAAGCUUUAUUAUAGAAAUUUAACAUAUUCUUCUAAUGA
rnacentral:tRNA from 1 species